AUCUAGCUGACGAGUCCCAAAUGGGACGAAACUCGCUUCCGGGAU
rnacentral:hammerhead_ribozyme from 1 species